AGCAUGUUCAUGUCCAUGUGCUUCCAAGGAGGGCUGGAGACUUCAGCAGGAAUGAUGAUGUCUACGAGGAGUUGCAGCGACACGACAAAGAGGAUUCCCCUGACAAGUGGAGGACAGAAGAAGAAAUGGCAGCUGAAGCAGCAAUUCUGAAGAAGUAUUUUCAGGAAAAUUAGAGAUAACAAAGUGUUUGAAAAACAUCCUGUGCCAUAAGAAACUCCCCAGGAAGAAAGGCCUCGUGCUCCAGUUCUCGGUGACCCUGGAGCUGCAGCUGAACAACUUUAUGAUGGUCUACAAAUAUGGGAAUCUUCCACGACCAAUUUUAUUGGACCUUUGGAUAUCACCAAGGUUGAAUUUCAGCUAAAACAUCUAAGAGCACUGAUUCAAAAUAUUGCUCUGAGUAGUAACUCGUAUCUUUCUGAAUUGUGUAUUUGGGAAUGAAUCUUUUUAAAUUGUCCCUUGGCCUACAUUGCAAUAAAGUGCUAGCAAAAUCAGGUAGCUACUGUGUUUAGGUACAUUACACAGUGUUGAUUCCGUGUUGUGCUUUUUGUAUGUGGGCUAUUAUAUCAUAGAGAACUUAGAUCUUUUAGCAGUAUGACAGUUCAUAAAAACCAAAUCUUCAUUACAGAUUAGCCAAGAUAAACCGGGAGAGCUGCAGUUUUGUCAGGUAAGGUACUAUAAUAAGAAAUAUAUAACAUCUUAUGUUCUUUCCUUUCUCUGUUUCUUUUAGUACGUUGUCACAAUGGUUCUGGACCUUAAGGUGAUACAAAAUGCUUCUGCCAAUCAAUAUGUGGAGCUGCUAAUGGGAUAGUAAUCACAUUAGGGCUAGACUGCUUGCAGCAACAACCAACCUGAGUGGGAGUGACCCGUGUGGAAUGCUCCCUUGGCAAGAAAUGUUCAGAGCCCUGCACAGGGAGAGACCCGCCAUGGGUUAGUUGUUGAUUGCUAACAUGUAAUGAAGGAAAAGUCGUCAAAAAACAGAUGGAAGGGAG
rnacentral:lncRNA from 1 species